rnacentral:rRNA from 1 species
GACGAACGCUGGCGGCGUGCUUAACACAUGCAAGUCGAACGGACCCUUUGGGGUUAGUGGCGAACGGGUGAGUAACACGUGGGUGAUCUGCCCUGCACUUUGGGAUAAGCCUGGGAAACUGGGUCUAAUACCGGAUAGGACUACGCACCGCAUGGUGUGUGGUGGAAAGCUUUUGCGGUGUGGGAUGGGCCCGCGGCCUAUCACCUUGUUGGUGGGGUGAUGGCCUACCAAGGCGACGACGGGUAGCCGGCCUGAGAGGGUGACCGGCCACACUGGGACUGAGAUACGGCCCAUACUCCUACGGGAGGCAGCAGUGGGGAAUAUUGCACAAUGGGCGCAAGCCUGAUGCAUCGACGCCGCGUGAGGGAUGACGGCCUUCGGGUUGUAAACCUCUUUCGCCAGGGACGAAGCGCAAGUGACGGUACCUGGAGAAGAAGGACCGGCCAACUACGUGCCAGCAGCCGCGGUAAUACGUAGGGUCCGAGCGUUGUCCGGAAUUACUGGGCGUAAAGAGCUCGUAGGUGGUUUGUCGCGUUGUUCGUGAAAACUCACAGCUUAACUGUGGGCGUGCGGGCGAUACGGGCAGACUGGAGUACUGCUUGGGAGACUGGAAUUCCUGGUGUAGCGGUGGAAUGCGCAAAUAUCAGGAGGAACACCGGUGGCGAAGGCGGUUCUCUGGGCAGUAACUGACGCUGAGGAGCGAAAGCGUGGGGAGCGAACAGGAUUAGAUACCCUGGUAGUCCACGCCGUAAACGGUGGGUACUAGGUGUGGGUUUCCUUCCUUGGGAUCCGUGCCGUAUCUAACGCAUUAAGUACCCCGCCUGGGGGAGUACGGCCGCAAGGCUAAAACUCAAAGGAAUUGACGGGGGCCCGCACAAGCGGCGGAGCAUGUGGAUUAAUUCGAUGCAACGCGAAGAACCUUACCUGGGUUUGACAUGCACAGGACGCCAGCAGAGAUGUCGGUUCCCUUGUGGCCUGUGUGCAGGUGGUGCAUGGCUGUCGUCAGCUCGUGUCGUGAGAUGUUGGGUUAAGUCCCGCAACGAGCGCAACCCUUGUCUCAUGUUGCCAGCACGUUAUGGUGGGGACUCGUGAGAGACUGCCGGGGUCAACUCGGAGGAAGGUGGGGAUGACGUCAAGUCAUCAUGCCCCUUAUGUCCAGGGCUUCACGCAUGCUACAAUGGCCGGUACAAAGGGCUGCGAUGCCGUGAGGUGGAGCGAAUCCUUUCAAAGCCGGUCUCAGUUCGGAUCGGGGUCUGCAACUCGACCCCGUGAAGUCGGAGUCGCUAGUAAUCGCAGAUCAGCAACGCUGCGGUGAAUACGUUCCCGGGCCU